UACGGAGGGGGCUAGCGUUGUUCGGAAUUACUGGGCGUAAAGCGCACGUAGGCGGCUUUGUAAGUUAGAGGUGAAAGCCCAGGGCUCAACCCUGGAAUUGCCUUUAAGACUGCAUCGCUUGAACAUCGGAGAGGUAAGUGGAAUUCCGAGUGUAGAGGUGAAAUUCGUAGAUAUUCGGAAGAACACCAGUGGCGAAGGCGGCCAACUGGACCAACACUGACGCUGAGGCGCGAAAGCGUGGGGAGCAAACAGG
rnacentral:rRNA from 1 species